ACCUGAGCCGAAACCAAGACUCGGACACUUACCCGACUGAGCCACCCAGGUGCCCCUUGCCCCUUUCUGUUCUUAACUUAUGUCUCCAAAAGUUCACCUCUAGCUCCGUGAACCUCGAGUGGUCAGUGCCGUGUUCCCCUCUACUUCACCCUGUCGGUGAGGACGGGAGUCCUGCUCUGGGGCCACCAGGAUGGUCUAGCACACGACAGACACUUUACAGAAGACCAUAUCCACGUGAGCACGGUGGAGUGGAACGUGCAGCUGGGCUCUUUGAGACCCUCUUCGUUUUCCCAAGGUAUCGAGAUACGCACCAGAUUAGGCCUUACUCCACAACCGACCCUUGAGGCCUUGACCUCGAUUUCAACCUUGAUGAUGACUGAGCCUUCCGGAGAGUAUGACACAGAGAGACAGAGCAUGAGCAGGGGAGGGGCAGAGAGAGA